GACGAACGCUGGCGGCGUGCUUAACACAUGCAAGUCGAACGAUGAACCAGGAGCUUGCUCUUAUGAAGUUAGCGGCGGACGGGUGAGUAACACGUGGGUAACCUGCCCAUAAGACUGGGAUAACUCCGGGAAACCGGGGCUAAUACCGGAUAACAUUUUGAACCGCAUGGUUCGAAAUUGAAAGGCGGCUUCGGCUGUCACUUAUGGAUGGACCCGCGUCGCAUUAGCUAGUUGGUGAGGUAACGGCUCACCAAGGCAACGAUGCGUAGCCGGCCUGAGAGGGUGAUCGGCCACACUGGGACUGAGACACGGCCCAGACUCCUACGGGAGGCAGCGGUAGGGAAUCUUCCGCAAUGGACGAAAGUCUGACGGAGCAACGCCGCGUGAGUGAUGAAGGCUUUCGGGUCGUAAAACUCUGUUGUUAGGGAAGAACAAGUGCUAGUUGAAUAAGCUGGCACCUUGACGGUACCUAACCAGAAAGCCACGGCUAACUACGUGCCAGCCGCCGCAGUAA
rnacentral:rRNA from 1 species